rnacentral:rRNA from 1 species
UACAGAGGGGGCAAGCGUUGUUCGGAAUUACUGGGCGUAAAGGGCGCGUAGGCGGCCAACUAAGUCAGACGUGAAAUCCCCUGGCUCAACCAGGGAACUGCGUCUGAUACUGGAUGGCUUGAAUCCGGGAGAGGGAUGUGGAAUUCCAGGUGUAGCGGUGAAAUGCGUAGAUAUCUGGAGGAACACCGGUGGCGAAGGCGGCAUCCUGGACCGGUAUUGACGCUGAGGCGCGAAAGCCAGGGGAGCAAACGGG